AUGUCAGAGAAACAUGUUUCAAGCACUUUGGUGGUCCUAUUUUCUCUCCUUUUGCUCAACUUUGGUGGUCCUAAAGGAGUUUCAGCACUUGGUAUGGACUAUGGCCAGCUUGGCGACAAUUUGCUACCUCCGCAGCAAGUUGCGAGUCUCUUAAGGUCCAACAACAUAUCAAAAGCAAGAAUUUUCGACACCAAUCCUCGAAUACUAACGGCAUUCGUAAAUUCAGAUAUUGAGCUCAUUGUGACAGAAGAAAACAAAAUGCUAAGCAGCCCUUCAGUGGGUCAAUACACAUAUCAAGCCUUACCUUCCGGCAAUGAAAAUCACAGACAUUAUGAUAGGGAACGAGCUUGAUGCAGCGGAUUUGCUACCUAACCUUGUACCGGCGAUGUCCAGCAUUCAAAAGGCCCUAUCUCAGUUAUAAGGUCUUGAUUUACACAUCAAGGUGUCAUCGCCUUUUUCUUAUGGAGUGAUGGAAGAGUCUUAUCCACCCACUGCUGGCAGUUUCAAGAGUGAUGUCUCCGAUGUAAUGUCACAAGUGUUAUAGUUCUUAUCAACCACAAAGUCACCGUUUUGGAUCGAUGCAUAUCCUUACUUUGCGUACAAGGGCAACUCAAAAGAAAUUCCUCUAGACUAUGUGCUUUUUAGCAAUGACGGUUCAUCAGCUGGAGUGACUGACCCUAGUAGCAAUUUGCACUAUGACAACUUAUUGUAUGCUCAAGUAGAUGCUGUCAUUUAUGCCAUUAAGGCAUUGGGGUUUGAUGAUAUAGAGGUUAAGGUUAGGGAGACAGGGUGGCCAUCGAAAGGGGAUGAUGAUGAACUUGGUGUAAGUUUAGAGAAUGCUGCUAUAUACAAUGGGAACUUGUUGAAGAGGCAAUUGGCCAAGGAAGGUACACCUUUGAAGCCUAACCUUGACGUCUAUAUUUUUGCUCUUUUCAAUGAGAACAAAAAGUCUGGACCAACUUCCGAGAGGAAUUUUGGUCUGUUUCACCCUGAUGGAACUGUGGCUUACAAUGCGGGCUUGACUGGAUACUCAUCUUCCACAACUUCGGCUCCAAACUCAACUGAUGCUGGCACUGAUGCCCCUACCCCAACCCCAAACCCAUCAGAACCACCAUCCUCCGAUACAUAUUUAACUGAGCCCCCUACCCCAACCCCAUCAGAACCACCAUCCUCCGAUACGACUUCAACUGAGCCCUCAUCGCCCCCAACUCUAACCCUAUCAGAACCACCAACUUCGGAUGCGAAAUCAACUAAUGCCUUUAUCACCCCCUACCCCAAGCCUAUCAGAACCACCUACCUCAUCACUUCCUCAGAUCCCCAUGACCUAUUCCUCUGGUGUCAAGACAGCAACAACAAUGGGACGCUGGAUGAUAUUGAUCAUCAUUUUUUGUGCGCUAAUCAUUAUAUUUCUUGGUGUCAUUAUGUGGUACUACUGCUAUCGUUCCAAUCAGGCACCUGGAGUUGA